ACAGGGUCGAUUCGUCCCCUGCGGAUUGCCCGGCGGGCAUAGCAGCGAAAAAACCAGGCUGAAAAGGCUGGAUGGCGAAGC
rnacentral:ncRNA from 1 species